rnacentral:rRNA from 1 species
UACGUAGGGUUCGAGCGUUGUCCGGAAUUAUUGGGCGUAAAGAGCUUGUAGGCGGUUUGUCGCGUCUGCUGUGAAAUUUCGGGGCUCAACCCCGAACUUGCAGUGGGUACGGGCAGACUAGAGUGUGGUAGGGGAGACUGGAAUUCCUGGUGUAGCGGUGAAAUGCGCAGAUAUCAGGAGGAACACCGAUGGCGAAGGCAGGUCUCUGGGCCACUACUGACGCUGAGAAGCGAAAGCAUGGGGAGCGAACAGG